rnacentral:rRNA from 1 species
GGACGGGAAUAACCUCGGGAAACUGAGAAUAAUGCCCGAUAGAACAUUAUACCUGGAACGGUUUAUGUUUCAAAUGAUUUAUCGCCGUAGGAUGGGACUGCGGCCUAUCAGUUUGUUGGUGAGGUAAUGGCCCACCAAGACUAUUACAGGUACGGGCUCCGAGAGGAGUAGCCCGGAGAUGGGUACUGAGACACGGACCCAGGCCCUAUGGGGCGCAGCAGGCGAGAAAACUUUGCAAUGUGCGAAAGCACGACAAGGUUAAUCCGAGUGGUUUCUGCUAAAGAAACCUUUUGCUAGUCCUAGAAACACUAGUGAAUAAGGGGUGGGCAAGUUCUGGUGUCAGCCGCCGCGGUAAAACCAGCACCUCAAGUGGUCAGGAUGAUUAUUGGGCCUAAAGCAUCCGUAGCCCGUUUUGUAAGUUUUCGGUUAAAUCCAUACGCUCAACGUAUGGGCUGCCGGGAAUACUGCAUAACUAGGAAGUGGGAGAGGUAGACGGUACUCGGUAGGAAGGGGUAAAAUCCUUUGAUCUAUUGAUGACCACCUGUGGCGAAGGCGGUCUACCAGAACACGUUCGACGGUGAGGGAUGAAAGCUGGGGGAGCAGACCGGAUUAGAUACCCGGGUAGUCCCAGCUGUAAACUAUGCAAACUCAGUGAUGCAUUGGCUUGUGGCCAAUGCAGUGCUGCAGGGAAGCCGUUAAGUUUGCCGCCUGGGAAGUACGUACGCAAGUAUGAAACUUAAAGGAAUUGGCGGGGGAGCACCACAAGGGGUGAAGCCUGCGGUUC